AAGAGGAAGAAGAAGAAGAAGAAGAAGAGGAAGAAGAAGAAGGAGGAGGAGAGAAGGAGGAAGGGGGGAGGAGGGAGGAGGAGGAGAAGGAAGAAGGAAACAGAAGGAGGAGGAAAUGACUUGGGGCAGGUGAUGGAUGUGUUAAUUAGCAUGAUUGUGGUGAUUAGCUCACAAUGUGUAUGUAUAUUAAAACAUCAAGAGCUUUAGGGAGAGUCUAAAUUUUCUUGGGCUUUAUUGAAGUGGUUGUGAUUAGAAUGCUAAUAGAAAAAUGGACAGUAAAGGUGAUUCUGAUGAGAUCACCUUUCAUCUGACAAUAUCAGAUGAAACUGAGAAGCAAGGUCAGCUAAGUAGCAAAGCAUUUAUGGUGCUGCAUGGCUUCUUUUGGAUACUUACAGGAAAAUGAGAUGUAGAAUGCAAGAGCUAUGAUGGCUUGGUGGCUUCUGACUAGAUUUCAAAAGAUGUUGUGAACAGCCUGGGGGCCCAGGCAGAGACUUGUCACAAGUAUGGAACCACCACAAAGAGUCCCCACUAGAGGAAUGCCCAGCAGAGCCAUAUAAGCAGGGCUACCACGGAGAGUCCCCACUAGAGCAAUGCCUAGUGAGCCAUAGAAGUGAAGCAGCCCCCCGCACCCCAAAACUGUAGGGCCACUAGCAUGCAGCCUCAGCCUGGGAAAGCUGCAGGCAUGAGGCUCCAAGUCAUGAGAGCUGCUGGGUGGAUUGUUAACACAUUAAUUCAAACUGAAAUCUGAACAUUUAAGUUUGAGUAGAUUAGAUUGGAAAAGAUUUAAUUAUAAUACCUUAACAGGCAAGGGAUCAAGCUUCCAUCAUAACUUUGUGUGCUAAUGUAGUCUUUCCAUAAUAUUUCCCUUAUAUUUACAAUAUUUAGAAAAAAAGCACUUGAACAAAAAAAAUUCAACAAAUAUGUUUGAAUGAAAACUCUGUAGG
rnacentral:lncRNA from 1 species